GACGUAGGGCGCGAGCGUUGUCCGGAUUUAUUGGGCGUAAAGAGCUUGUAGGCGGUUUGUCGCGUCUGCCGUGAAAAUCCGGGGCUCAACCCCGGACUUGCGGUGGGUACGGGCAGACUAGAGUGUGGUAGGGGAGACUGGAAUUCCUGGUGUAGCGGUGGAAUGCGCAGAUAUCAGGAGGAACACCGGUGGCGAAGGCGGGUCUCUGGGCCAUUACUGACGCUGAGGAGCGAAAGCGUGGGGAGCGAACAGG
rnacentral:rRNA from 1 species